UUGAUGAGUAUAUAUGCAAUGUUCUAACUAGAUUAAGUUUUUGAUGUUUUUGCAAUCUUAAUGUUUGUUAUUGGUGUUUUAAACAUACAUUGUGAUUGCUUCUUAAUCUGGUUAAUGAUAUAUAUAAUGUAUAUCUUGUCUCUGACUACUGUUCCCAUUUCACUUGCGUUUUCACAUGGUAUUUUGAGUUUUGCCUUUUCAGGAAACAGGAUCAACAAGAUAUUGCAGAGAUAGUAGAUAGGUUGGAGUCAAUGUAUUUUCAUCCUUGACUAUCAAAUGUGUUUUUGUCACAGAAUGCCAAAGGGGGAGUUUGUUAGGAAAUAUGUAAUUGGUAAAUCUGUGACCAAGGAC
rnacentral:lncRNA from 1 species